GUGGUCAUGAUCUUGUCUGGUGAUGAGGGCAGGCUUCAAACCUGUGGCGGCUUGACGGCCGAGUUGUUCGAUUCAACCUUGACCACG